UACGUAGGGGGCGAGCGUUGUCCGGAUUUAUUGGGCGUAAAGAGCGUGUAGGCGGCUUGGUAGGUCUGCUGUGAAAACUCGGGGCUCAACCCCGAGACGUCGGUGGAAACCAUCUGACUAGAGUCCGGAAGAGGAGAGUGGAAUUCCUGGUGUAGCGGUGAAAUGCGCAGAUAUCAGGAAGAACACCCGUGGCUAAGGCGGCUCUCUAGUACGGUACUGACGCUGAGACGCGAAAGCGUGGGGAGCGAACAGG
rnacentral:rRNA from 1 species